rnacentral:rRNA from 1 species
CGACGUGGAGAACCUGCCGUAUACUGGGGGAUAACACUUAGAAAUAGGUGCUAAUACCGCAUAAGCGCACAGCUUCGCAUGAAGCAGUGUGGAAAACAAAAAGCUAAAGCUUUUGGUGGUAUACGAUGGAUCCGCGUCUGAUUAGCUGUUGGCGGGGUAAAGGCCCACCAAGGCGACGAUCAGUAGCCGGCCUGAGAGGGUGAACGGCCACAUUGGGACUGAGACACGGCCCAAACUCCUACGGGAGGCAGCAG